CCGUCGGAUCAUGCGCUGUCUUUCCGUGUGCUUCCUGAUCCUCUGCGUGAGAGUCGGGUCACCGCGAGAAGGAAGCCCCGGGGAGAAUGGCGCGGUUGAGCCGUCCGACUUCGUAGAAGAUAAGACCGUUUCUGCCCCCACCGUGGGUCCAGAUGAGGGCGAGGUGGUGGCAGAAGAGGAGGUUCUGGAGGGCAAGGAAAACCUGACAUCGCUCGAGCCUCCCUCCACCGCAGGUAAAGC